rnacentral:rRNA from 1 species
UCUGGUUGAUCCCGCCGGAGGUUACUGCUAUCGAGGUUCGACUAAGCCAUGCGAGUCGAAUGUAGCAAUACAUGGCGUACUGCUCAGUAACACGUGGAUAACCUACCCUUGAGACGGGGAUAAACCCGGGAAACUGGGUAUAAUACCCGAUAGAUCUCGACUGCUGGAAUGCAUCGAGCUUGAAAGCUCCGGCGCUCAAGGAUGGGUCUGCGGCCUAUCAGGUAGUAGUGGGUGUAGCGUACCUACUAGCCUACGACGGGUACGGGUUGUGAGAGCAAGAGCCCGGAGAUGGAUUCUGAGACACGAAUCCAGGCCCUACGGGGUGCAGCAGGCGCGAAAACUUUACAAUGCUGGAAACAGCGAUAAGGGGACCUCGAGUGCCAGGUUACAAAUCUGGCUGUCGUGAUGCCUAAAAAGCAUUGCAUAGCAAGGGCCGGGCAAGACCGGUGCCAGCCGCCGCGGUAACACCGGCGGCUCGAGUGGUAACCGUUAUUAUUGGGUCUAAAGGGUCUGUAGCCGGCCGGAUAAGUCUCUUGGGAAAUCUGGCAGCUUAACUGUCAGGCUUUCAGGAGAUACUGUCUGGCUCGAGGCCGGGAGAGGUGAGAGGUACUUCAGGGGUAGGGGUGAAAUCUUGUAAUCCUUGAAGGACCACCAGUGGCGAAGGCGUCUCACCAGAACGGACCUGACGGCAAGGGAC